GAAAUGCGAUAAGUAAUGUGAAUUGCAGAAUUCAGUGAAUCAUCGAACCUUUGAACGCACAUUGCGCCCGCCAGCACUCUGGCGGGCAUGCCUGUUCGAGCGUCAUUUCAACCCUCAGAACCCCUUGCGGGAUCUGGCGUUGGGGAUUGGCAUCCAGCCAGCCCCGAAAUCUAGCGGCGGUCCCUCCGCGACCUCCCCUGUGCAGUAGCGAUACCUCGCAGCGGGACAGCGGUCUGACCACGCCGUAAAACCCCCAACUUCUCAAGGUUGACCUCGAAUCAGGUAGGAAUACCUGCUGAACUUAAGC
rnacentral:misc_RNA from 1 species